rnacentral:rRNA from 1 species
AGCAGGUCAUAGUGAUCCGGUGGUUCUGAAUGGAAGGGCCAUCGCUCAACGGAUAAAAGGUACUCCGGGGAUAACAGGCUGAUACCGCCCAAGAGUUCAUAUCGACGGCGGUGUUUGGCACCUCGAUGUCGGCUCAUCACAUCCUGGGGCUGAAGUAGGUCCCAAGGGUAUGGCUGUUCGCCAUUUAAAGUGGUACGCGAGCUGGGUUUAGAACGUCGUGAGACAGUUCGGUCCCUAUCUGCCGUGGGCGCUGGAGAACUGAGGGGGGCUGCUCCUAGUACGAGAGGACCGGAGUGGACGCAUCACUGGUGUUCGGGUUGUCAUGCCAAUGGCACUGCCCGGUAGCUAAAUGCGGAAGAGAUAAGUGCUGAAAGCAUCUAAGCACGAAACUUGCCCCGAGAUGAGUUCUCCCUGAGACUUAGAGUCUCCUGAAGGAACGUUGAAGACGACGACGUUGAUAGGCCGGGUGUGUAAGCGCAGCGAUGCGUUGAGCUAACCGGUACUAAUGAACCGUGAGGCUUAACCUUACA